rnacentral:rRNA from 1 species
UUCUUGGAGAGUUUGAUCCUGGCUCAGGACGAACGCUGGCGGCGUGCCUAAUACAUGCAAGUCGAGCGAAUCUUGAGGUGCUUGCACCUCUUGGUUAGCGGCGGACGGGUGAGUAACACGUGGGCAACCUGCCUGUAAGACUGGGAUAACUUCGGGAAACCGGAGCUAAUACCGGAUAAUCCUUU